GUACAAUGUGAAUCAUACAAAAAAAGUGUGAUUUUUAGAAAAAAAAAUAAGCAUGAUGGUCCACCUUUAAAUGUGACCAUCAGCUGGGC